GAUGGUCAUAUCUCGUUUAAACACUCCAGUUUCCGUACGAUCACCGACGUUAAGCAACGUCGAACCUGGCCAGUACCUAGAUAGGUGACCGCUUGGGAAUACCAAGUGCUGUU